rnacentral:rRNA from 1 species
UACGAAGGGUGCAAGCGUUACUCGGAAUUACUGGGCGUAAAGAGCGUGUAGGCGGCUUGGUAAGUCCGCCGUCAAAUCCCAGGGCUCAACCCUGGACAGGCGGUGGAAACUACCAAGCUGGAGUACGGUAGGGGCAGAGGGAAUUUCCGGUGGAGCGGUGAAAUGCGGUAGAGAUCGGAAAGAACACCGGUGGCGAAGGCGGCUCUCUGGACCGACACUGACGCUGAGGCGCGAAAGCGUGGGGAGCAAAGCAGG